rnacentral:rRNA from 1 species
AAUAGAUACCCUGUAGUCCACGCCGUAAACGAUGAGUGCUAAGUGUUAGAGGGUUUCCGCCCUUUAGUGCUGCAGCUAACGCAUUAAGCACUCCGCCUGGGGAGUACGGCCGCAAGGCUGAAACUCAAAGGAAUUGACGGGGGCCCGCACAAGCGGUGGAGCAUGUGGUUUAAUUCGAAGCAACGCGAAGAACCUUACCAGGUCUUGACAUCCUCUGCCAACCCUAGAGAUAGGGCGUUCCCCUUCGGGGGACAGAGUGACAGGUGGUGCAUGGUUGUCGUCAGCUCGUGUCGUGAGAUGUUGGGUUAAGUCCCGCAACGAGCGCAACCCUUGAUCUUAGUUGCCAGCAUUCAGUUGGGCACUCUAAGGUGACUGCCGGUGACAAACCGGAGGAAGGUGGGGAUGACGUCAAAUCAUCAUGCCCCUUAUGACCUGGGCUACACACGUGCUACAAUGGAUGGUACAAGGAGCAGCGAACCCGCGAGGGUAAGCCAAUCUCAUAAAGCCAUUCUCAGUUCGGAUUGU